GCCUCCGUUGUCUAAUGGUUAUGACGUCAGACUUCUAUUUCCCCUUGGUAGAUCUGGAGGUUGCGGGUUCGAGUCCCGCCGGAGGUU